rnacentral:lncRNA from 1 species
CCUCGCACAUACGCGCUUCCUGCAGUCAGAGACCCGGUGAUGAAUUGCGGUGUUUGAAAGUCUCUUAUCGCGGUUGUGCACAUGUGCUCAGAUGUGUGUGCCUGCCCGCGUGUAGGGAGGAGGCCGUGGGGAGCGGGGAGGAGAAAAUAGAGCUCCUGGCUCCCCCAGCCCCUGUCCUCUUUGUCUAGAUGAAAUUUCAGAUGCUGCUGGGUGUCUUGUCAGCAAGUCUUUUGCAAAAUAAAUGGAAGUAAUAUUAAAAAAAGAAGCUGAUUUCUUCAGUAUUUAGUUAGCCUAGGGAGAAGUUGUAUACAAACGGAGAUGAAAUGACUGCUCCCUCAGGUUGAUGUGACUCCUGGUUUGACACACAUGGGAAGAAGCUAAGAAGAAGAAACGCACGAGUUGAAUGCCUACUGUGUGCUGUGUGCUAAGUUCUUUACACACAUGUGCCUGCAUGAAUCUGGGCAUCUCCUGCAUCAGGCGAAUGAUGCUGGGGAAAAUCCCUUGGACCCUGAGAAACUCCCCCUGCUUACCUGCUGAGACUUUGGGAACCCCCACCUCCAUGGUCUGGGGGCCCUGGAAGUUGAAGUAGAUGCUAUGCACCUGUUUUGUGGCCCUACAUUUAAGAGGAGACCUUGACAGAGUCUCAGCUGCUCAUGGCUGCAGAGCUCUGGUUCUGUCCAGGGUGCUGGUGCACACCAUGCCAGGACUCCAGUCAGAAGAUUCCUGACCUCUCUCCAAGCAUGGCCUGUAAGCCGCUCUGCUAAGAACUUUUAGGACAAGAAAAGCUGAGCCUCACCAUGUGAUACUUGGACAAAUCACAUGCUCUCCCUGGGAGCCACCCCGAUUCAGGUGUCUUACAUCGUAUUUGGAAAUGAAUAAGCAGAAGGGAAAAUGCUAUAAAGGAUCUAAGGAAAAAGACAAAGGAAACAGAAACAAUAAGAAAGAAAGUAGGUUGAGAUGGAAACAGAUUGAAAAGAUGGCUAAAAUACAAAUGAUAUUGAAGGGCACUUAAAUACAAUGGAAUAAAUAAAAUUCAUAUGGAAGGCAACUCUGCUAAAACUGAAAUCAUCAAUGAGAAGAAUAAAUUCUCAUAUUUAGAGGGAAAAGAAUAAAGAGACGAAAGUGAUGAUGAGAUAAUAGAUGUGAAGAAGAGAGAAGGAAAUCCUAUCUAGAAAUCGUAGGUAUUGCUGAGGACUAAACCAGAACAAUUUACAUGGAAACAACAAUCAGUCACCAAUGAAGAAAAUGUGUGCUCCAAAAUAGCCUAACUAGACAGACCAAAUAAAUUUAAAGAAAACUGCCCUUAUCUGUAGCCUUGGUAAAUUUUGGAAUUAAAGGUUUAAGUAUUAUAGGCACC